rnacentral:rRNA from 1 species
UAACUUUUUUUUUUCUAGUUAGAAGUGGUGUACAGGUGAGUAAAGGAUAUUAUAACCGCCUUAAAGUAAGGAAUAGAUCCCUUAUAUUAAGAAAGAAAGUUAAAUUUCGCUUUAARAAGUUUGUAUCUCGGAUAGUAGUAGUUAAGGUAAUUGCUUAACUAGCUUAAUAUCCGUAGUCGAGACUGAAAGGUUGAUCGACCACAGUGGGGCUGAAUAAAUCCCAAUAUAUCGGAUACAGCAGUGAGGAAUAUUGGUCAAUAGCCUAACGGCUGAACCAGCAACUUGGAGGAAUGUAUAGCGAAAGCUAAUUGUAUUAACUAAUAGUUAAUGCAAUAUCGAUUAUCUCGACUAAAAUUCUAGGUAGAGUAAUGAUAAUGACAUUUUUUACCUAUAGGUCUUGACCAAAUCACGUGCCAGCAGUCGCGGCAAUACGUGGAAGACUAGUGUUAUUCAUCUUUAAUUGGUUUAAAGGGUACCUAGACGGUAUAUCUAGCCCAAAAAGGGUACUGAUAAACUAGAGUUUAAUGUGAGGGGGGGAGUACUAAUGGAGAGAGAUGAAAUUCUGUCAUACCAAGAGGUAACAGGUAUCGGCGAAAGCAACCCUUUAUGCAAAAACUGACGUUGAAGGACGAAGGCUCGGGUCACAAACAGGAUUAGAUACCCCAGUAGUCUGGGCAGACAACGCUGAAUGCCAUAGAUUAGAUUAUAUUUCUUCUAUAAAUGAAAGUGUAAGCAUUCCACCUCAAGAGUAAUUUGGCCACAUUGAAACUGAAAUCAUUAGACCGUAUCUGAAACCAGUAGUGAAGUAUGUUGUUUAAUUUGUUAGCCCUCAAAAAACCUUACCACAAUUUGAAUAUUUUUAUAUUUCUUUAUAAUUAUACAAGAGUUGCAUGGCUGUCUUCAGUUAAUGUCGUGAGAAUUUGGUUAGUUCCAUAAAAUUAACGUAAACCCUUACUUUAUUUUUUUUUUAUAAAGUUGUUCACCGCUAUAUUGGAUAUGAUAAAAGGGACUAAGACAAGUCAUCAUGGCCUUAAUAUUGUGGGCUAUAGACGUGCCACAUAUGCCUAUGCAAAGGGAUGCGAAGUUGCGAAA